CAAUAGCGUAUAUUAAAGCUGUUGCGGUUAAAAAGCUCGUAGUUGGAUUUCUGUCAAGGACAACUGGUCCGCCCUUCGGGUGAGCACAUAGUUUGGUCUUGGCAUCUUGUUGGAAACUGUUGCUGCACUUGGUUGUGUGGCGCAGCGUCCAGCACUUUCACUUUGAGGAAAUUGGAGUGUUUCAAGCAGGCACAUGCCUUUGGACACAGUAGCAUGGAAUAAUUAGAUUGGGCUUUUGCUCCAACUUGUCGGUUUCUGGAGCUGAGGUGAGAAUUAAUGGGGAUUGUUGGGGGCAUCCGAAUUUAGCCGUCGGAGGUGAAAUUCUUGGAUCUGCUAAAGACGGACAACUGCGAAAGCGUUUGCCCAGGAUGUUUUCAUUGA
rnacentral:rRNA from 1 species